CAGUAGCCACGGUAAUACGUAGGUGGCAAGCGUUGUCCGGAAUUAUUGGGCGUAAAGGGCUCGCAGGCGGUUUCUUAAGUCUGAUGUGAAAGCCCCCGGCUCAACCGGGGAGGGUCAUUGGAAACUGGGAAACUUGAGUGCAGAAGAGGAGAGUGGAAUUCCACGUGUAGCGGUGAAAUGCGUAGAGAUGUGGAGGAACGCCAGUGGCGAAGGCGACUCUCUGGUCUGUAACUGACGCUGAGGAGCGAAAGCGUGGGGAGCGAACAGGAUUAGAUACCCGUGUAGUCCCUGUCUCUUAUAC
rnacentral:rRNA from 1 species